CUAGGGUCAGUGUCUCUACUGGUAGCAUGAGGCGAUACCUGGACCCUACACAGGCAGUCUAACACAUCAAUCGUGUAAUUUCUCGAAGGUUUGCUGUGUCUCCCAGCACAGUCUCAAGAGCAUGUGGGAGAUUCCAGGAGACAGGCAGUUACUCUAGGACAGCUGGUAAGUGCCGUAGAAGGUCCUUAACCCAUCAGAAGGACCACCUGAGGGCCCGACCACCUCUAUUGGGCCCUGUUCCCAAUAGAGGUGAAUGGACCCAGAGAUGAAUGGACCCAUUGACGUUGUCAGUAUAGAUAUCUUGGUGCUAGGAUAACAACCUCCAUCUGAACGUCGGCAAAACGCCCCCAGGAAAGACCCCCAUCACCCCAGCAACAAACUCUUCUGUAUGCUGCUGUCUACCGCAUGCUGCGGCUGUCUACCGCAGCAUGAGGACUAAAACCACCAGACUCGGACAGUUUCAUUCCACAGGUUGCUAAACAUCUGAGCUGCACUAUUUUUAUUUGUUUAAUGUCUUAUAUAUAUAAUGUAUUAAUGUUGGAGGAAUCCAAUAUUGUCAUUACACAACUAUACUGUAGCUGUGUAUAUGACAAAUAAAAUCUUUCAACCUUUUAA